CCUGGGCUCUGUGUGGCCUCCUCUCUCAGCCGCCGCUCUGGCUGCCCUCAUCUCUCACUGGCCCCCAGGUUCCUCUGACGAGUCCCGUCUCUCCUAGCCCAGGCCUCUGAGAGCUCCGUCCAUGACCGCCCUGGGUCCGGCCUCGUCUCCCCAGAGCGUCAAAGCACUGUCCCUGGCCUGGGGCCAGUGCUGCCCGCGGGAUGGCCUAGGCCCUGCACAUGCUGGUCCUCCAUGAGGCCUCUGUGACCUGCCAUCACAGGGGCAUUGGCCUUGUGGACAUGGCCAGUGGCAGGCAGAACAGCAGGACACACUUCCCCACAAGGGACUCCAGGCUGGGGGUCAGUGGCCACAUCUCCGUGGACAACUCUGCUGCAAGAGUGAGGGCAGGGCUCUCCUCCUGGAAGGCCAUCUCGGACUAUGUGAAGGGUCAGUUUGAGCCAAGAGGAAGUGAAAGUCCUCAGGAGAUGGAGAAAUAGAAGACAGGGGAAGGCUGUGUUGCCUUUCUGGGGAGAAGAAAGGUUGUCAGGAAGAACUGGGAUUCACUGGGGGCAGAAGUUUUAGAUAAGGGACGCAGAAGUGAGGCACCCUCUGCCCCAGCCCUUGUACGGGUCUCUGGACUGUCUCUCUCAAUUGUCACAUGGGUCUGCAAUUGUCACAUGGGUCUGCUUGAGGCCCUCAGACAGGCAAGCUGAGCUGCCGGGCUGCCUGGGGACAGCCACUCUCCAGAGCUGGAGUUGGAUGGACCGUGCUGUGCUGGUGGCCAGGCUGGGCCUCCCUGUCCCUGCUUCCCCAGGAGGGGGGUGGGGUGAGUGGUGAGGACAUGCAGGGCACACAGAUGUCAUCCAGGGUCUCCAUUGCACUGGACAGCCCUGCCCAGGAACACAGAGAGGGCACUGCCAAGUGGCUGAGCAGAACAGUCCUGUGUGGGAAUGAAGAGGUAACGAGCUGAGCCGGGUCCCCCAGAAAGAUGCUCACACGUCCCAACCCCGGGGGCCUCAGGUGAGACCCUAAUUGCAGACACGAUCUUUAGAGCAAAAGUAAAAGAAAACCUGGGGUUGUGAGGCUGAGCCUAAGCCAGCCUGACUGGUGUCCUCGGGUGAGGGGGAAGUUUGGACACAGGCCAGCAGGUGGACUCCCACGGGGAAGACCCAGAGACUUCUCAGUCUCAUCUAUAGCCAAGGGACACGGAGGACGCCAGGCAACACCUGGAGCAGGAAGAGCCAAGAACAGACCCUCCCGGGAAUCCUCAGGGAGAAGUGGCCUGGGGAUGCCCAGCUCAGACUCACACCCCCAGAACUGUGGGACAGCGAAUUUGUAUGGUAUUAAGCCACCAACUUGGUGGUGACUUGCAACAGCAGCCUCAGGAUACUCACAAGGAUUGGGCUGAGAGCUGGCCAGACUCUGGUCCCAAAGGAAUAGCCAUGUCUUGGACCGUGGUAAAAACCCGGGGAGAUCCACACAGCCUGGAGGAAGACAGUGCCAUGAUAAAGGGACUCCAGGAGAGCUGAGAGGGACAGCUCUGAGGAAGAGGGAGGGCUAGGGCAGGUGUGCAGAGGCAGGGCCCCACGCCAGCUGGCCAGGCUGACCUCCACGUCUGCGCCACAGCCAGCAGGAAGCAGUCUGGACCCUGUGGGCUGUGGGGACCUCAGGGAACCUGGGCCUGUUGGCCUUCCCAGGCCUUGGCCGGCCACACGCAGCCUUCGCUGUGCCUGGCCAUUCACCUCCAUGCUCCAGCGAGCUUGUGAGGACAGCACCUUCAGAGGAAGAGCAGCUGAACCCAGCACCUCUCGCCCAAGGGUGUGGGCGCCAGGCCCUGGAGCGGGGACGGCCCCAGAUCAGACGGGCUGUAAGUCACGGGGAGAAUGAGAUCACCAACUAGUGUCACACUUAAAUCUUACACUUCAGCCUCCCCCAGCCCCUGCCCUCACACAUAUUGCCUCUCUGGGGGUGAUUUCAGUCAAGUGACCACAGCUGCCCAUUUUUAGAAAGGCUGACAUUUCCUAUUAAGAUAGCUUUCAUCAGAUGAUGAUGAUGAUGAUGAAGGUUUCCCGGUGCUGGAGCAGAGAGGACAGGGUGGGCUGACCCCCUGGGGAAAGGAGGCUGACACUCACCUCCUCUAAGAGCCCUCAGCAGCCAGCCUGGGUGGUUCCAGGCUGACCCCAUUUAGAACUGAGCAACCUCAUUGCAGACAACCCACAGAUGUGAGCACAGAGGGAAGGAUGGUUCCUACCCGAAAACCCCUCCACUCAUGGCCCCUCCAUCUCCACCACAUGGCCCUUCCAUCACUACUGCCUUGACCCCUCUAUCCCCACCACCAUGGCCCCUCCAUACCACAACUCAUGGCCCCUCCAUCCCCACCAUCAUGAUCCCCUCCAUCUCCACCACAUGGCCCCUCCAUCCCACCACUCAUGGCCCCUCCAUCCCACCACUCAUGGCCCCUCCAUCCCCACCACCAUGACCCCUCCAUCCCCACCACUCAAGGCCCCUCCUUCUUCACCACAUGGGCCCUCCUUCUCCACCACCAUGACCCCUCCAUCCCACCACUCAAGGCCCCUCCAUCCCACCACUCAAGGCCCCUCCAUCCCACCACUCAAGGCCCCUCCUUCUUCACCACAUGGGCCCUCCAUCCCACCAACAUACAGCUCCUUUCCCCUUGUCAUUAUUGUGGUUUGUGACUCAACUCUGAAGCCAUCUCAUGCCAACUUCUGCUGAUGAAUUUUGCAGUUUAUGUGAAACAAGGGAACUUGUUCUUUGUGCAAACACAACACAAAAGAAUCUGGAAACCCAUUUGUAGCAAGAACUUUCAACUCAUUUGUGAAUCUUUUGAUGAAACCCAAACAUCAGCUGGCUUUGAAUCGAUACUCCUGGGUGUGCCAGCAAAGGGUACCUUAUUUGGAAGCAGCAGUGUUGUCUCGGCCUCUUUUGUUAGCAACUGAUUUGCAUUGAAGCAUUGGCAGGUUUUUGGAAGGACAAGCUUCAGGAGUAUAUCAGUGUCACUUACAGAGGAGGAAAACACUUCAGACUUGUUUCUGCCAAUCAGCUUGUUUUUCUUUGAUCUAAGCUAUGACCUGGAUGGAACAUUGGUGCUGCACCAAUGUCUAAGGGCGCCACUGAUCUUGGCGGAUGCCAAGGUCCACUGUUCCAGGUGUUUGUUCUUCGUGCCCUCAUGUACUUGUCUACAGGGGACAGACACCCAGCUGGCUUAACUGAGAAUGGGCAUCGGUGGCUCAUUUGUUCAUUCAGCACGCACUCUCAGCCCCUGCUCUAUCACAGCAUGUCUGGGCACUACAGACGGAGGCGUGAACACACCCGCGUCUGCCCCUGGAGCUCACAUAAGCUCGCAGGCUUCUGAUACAACGGGUCAGGUCUCAUGGGGUGUUGGGGGGCUCUGAAGUUUUCUUCUUUCCUGCGUCAGCCUCUCAGGUGCUCUGUUCCCCAUGGUUCACACAAAAUCACAGGAGGAGGAUCUCGGGGGCACUAAGCCAAGGCAGCCUUGGAGCCACCACACGGGCCACAAGUGGGGCCAUGGGGUCAAGAUGCUGCGAUGGGCAACUUGGGUCAUGUUUCCACCUGGACACCAACCCCCCCCCCCAGCUUACCAGAGGCUGAGGUUGAGGUGCAAAAGGAAUGAGCUGAUGGGUCAAGCCUGACCCCGUCGGCCACAUCUGAAACCCAGGGUUCAGGCUGCACAGGACAGGGCUUGGGGGAGGUGGGCUCCUCGGGGACUAUGUGGCUUGGGUUCCCAGCAAAAGAAUGAAUGGAUAUUGGCAGAUAAAUCAGUUGACUUCCCCUGAGAAUGGUUAAUUUUAUGUAUCCAUUUGGCAAGACGAUAUUUCCCAGUCACUCACAGAACCGUCCAGAUGUUGCUGUGAAGGUGUUUUUCAGAUGAACAGCGCACCUGGAGUAACUCAGAUGACCUUCAUAAGGUGGGUGGGCCUUCUCCAAUCAGCUGAAGGCCUUCAGAGAAAGUCUGAGGUUUUCCAAAAUGGAGGGAAUUCUGCUCCUACCUGGCAUCAUGAUGAACUGCACCAUCAGCUCCUCCAUGUCUUUACAACCUGCUCCCACGAUCACAAGUACCAACUCCUCACAGAAAUCAGCCUCUUUCUCUGCCUCCCCCCAUGGAUCAGUUUCUCUGGGGGCCUUGACUAAUAGACCCCACGAGGGGCGGG
rnacentral:lncRNA from 1 species